CGGACUUUUACAAAGGUGUCAUCCACAUCCCCAAUCUCACUCUUAACUUCUCUGCAAAGUUGAGAGGUCUGCAGAUUACCACAAAAUGAUACAAACACAGUUUUAAUAUAUCCAGCCCCGCCUUAGCAAUCUGACGUCUGUGUUGACAAGAACGUCGUUUGCUUAAGCUCGCUAUUUUAUGAUAAAUGCACUGAAACCGUUACAAUAAUUAAUUAGUAAUGUUAAUUGCAGCUAUUAUCUAAAGCUAUUAAUGUUUUAAGCCGUCGAAG